GUCCGAUAAGGGCAAACCACUUGAAAGAGUGGGGCGCAAAGCUUCUGGCCUAAUCUCCGAAGCCAGGCGGAGAAUGGUAGCAGGGCUGCCGGG
rnacentral:ncRNA from 1 species